UCGUGCUCGGUUACAUAUAACUCUCUCGGUGCUUGCUGCCAGUGUAGUUUAGGCUUUUAGUUAGUGACGGUGUCUCUCACGCGGAGGACCCUCUUCUCCCAGGAAAAGCAAAAUUUUCUAACGAAACAUCUCGAACCUAUCGAUCAUGCAAAAUCGUCCUUACAAGAACGCGACGAUGACGAGGCUCUCUGCGGGAGACACCGUCAAAUCGACCAAUUCGACUAACUCAACGAUAAACGGGGAAUGUUCCGUGAUAAUAAUUGGAAAUGAUCCACAUCUUCAGUGUACUAGAAAACGAAGACGAUUGGAUCUUUCGACGACGGCUACGGACAUUCCCCAAAAGACGCAACGACGCAACGACGAACAGGACGAUGGAUGCGACGUUGAUAUUAUUCCCGUCGAUUCUUAUCGAAACUCAGAAUCAAUAAAGCGUGAUAGAAAGAACGAGGACGAUACGACGAGGAAGUUUAGGCAGGAUGUUUCUUACAACGUUAAUUGUCUUACGUCUGAUCAAAGAAAAAGUAAAAGAUUGCCGGACGAGAGAGAAUGCCAAGAAGAAAGACAGAUUGAAAAUGACACUUGUGUAGCAAACGUAAAGAGAAAGAAACAGGAACAGGAUGCUUCCGUACGUAGGCUUGUCCUUUCGAAUAAUAACGUCAAAGACGAAUCGACGAGGCUCAGAAAAACGAUACAGUGGCUCGAGGAAGGAGCACGUAGAUUACGAGAGGAUCUUGCUAAUGCCAGAACCGAGUUGCACGAGGAAAGAAGGGCCGCCAAAUUAGUCAAAAGAGAAAUCGAAACGGCCAUUAGGGAAGCGAAGGCUACGGAAGCUACCAAGUAUCAACUUAUAAUCUCGGAAUUGAAGAGCAGAGUCUCUCGUGGGGCCUCGGCAGAAUCAAAUUGCACGUCGCCGUCGCCGUCGUCGUUGUCGUCGUCGUCGUCAUUGAAGGUGGACCUCAUAAAGGAAGAGAAUCAUAAACGAGAGAUAUCGGCAAUGAAGAAGAGGCUCGUAGAAUCGGAGAAUACGAUACGAAAGCUCAAGUUGGAAAGUUUGAAUCUUCAGGGAAAGAGCGCCCCCUGUAGACUCGAUGGUUCCACUUGUGCCGAGGUCCGACGCCUUCAAACUGAAAUUCACGCUUUACGCGCGAAUAACGAGAAACUCGAAGCGAAAUUACGUAUCGCCACAGAUGCCGAAAAAGUUCGAGCGGCCGAAUUACGGAUUCAACAUGAGAAUCAUGAGGCCGAGCUCACUGCAUUACGAAAAUCUUUGAGAAGCGAAACGAUUAAAAUGAUGGACGAAAUGCGAGGAAAGAGUCGCGAGAUCGAGAAGCUUUCGAAACUACUGCAGGCCGAGAACUCCCGGAAACGGCGAAAGACGGCUGCGAAAGACGACUCACCGAUGCGGAAGUUACAGGACAGCGAGAGAAACGGACCGAUCCGGUCGACGUCUCGCGGAGAGAAGAAAUUCCUCGCGGAGGAUCAUACCUUGUAUAUUCGCGAAGACGGCUGCGACAGAGCCAUAGCCGAGAUCGAGGUCGAGCGCCUUCGUGAGCUUGCGCUUGAGCAGCAAGAAGUUAUCGAGAUACUCAGGCAGACAGUCAAGGAAAAGGAACGAAAGCUCGAGCAACUGUCGAAUAAGAAAAGGAAAGAGGAAUUCUAUAGGCAAUGGUUGGAACUCGAGCCAGUGGCCGAAGUCGACGACGAGGAGGAUCAUGAGGAGGGUGACAGUGCCCUUUCCAGUGCACCAUCAUCCCUCUCUCCUCAGCCUGGUGGUUGUGGACAAUGGCAAGGAUCAGGUGUCACCAGAGAAGCUUACGAAGCUGUUCUUAUCGAAAUCGAGGAACUCCAAUCGAAACUGUUGGACGAACGUCAGGAAUUGUCUCGUGCGAAGACCGAAGUUCUUGAUCUUGAAAAAGCCCUUCUGCAGGAGACGAGAUGCAGCAAUCGCAACAAACAAUUGGAAGAACUGAACGAGAAGUUGCGAGCGACCGAAGAACGAGAGGCUAAUCUCCUGGUGGAAUUGUCCGAGUUGAGAGAACAAAACGAACUUCUAGAAUUCAGACUUCUCGAACUGGAAGAGUCACCCGCUCGUAGAGAGAAUCCUGAUCACACGGCUGAUAGCGGUAUUGUCUCGCCGGAACUGUUACAUCCGAGCAAGGAUCAGGCAAACAAGCAAAGAAAUCGUGCAGUGGCUACAGUGAUCCCGUACACAAACAACAAUAAUUACGCUACUACACGUUCGAUUUCGCCCGUACCACGAAAACCACCCCUGUCUCUUCAAGAAAGUGGUAUUUUCGAAGAAGAAGAUGAGGAGAGCUUAGAGAUCGAGCUAGCGAGUCGUGGAACACAAACGGAGAUACCUUCCGGUGAACUAUUGCAAGAGGUUCAACGUCUUCAGGAACUCCGUGCACGAAUUCAAGAACGUGCAGCUAAAGUAACGAACCCAACAAUCUGCUCGAUCGAUCCAACUACUAGAACCUGUCCACCGCUCGACACGGACGUUGAUUCGAUCGUUCAAUUGUCGUCCUAUCAGGAUCGCAUAAGAGAUUUGGAAGAGAGAUUGGAGGCUUACGAAGAGGCUGAAGAAAGGCAAAUCGAAGAAAGGCGAGUGACGAAGCAGAGGGAAGAAGAAUUGCUCGAUGAGAAUUACAGGCUAACGGAGAGGGUUUACUGGCUUGAGAAUAAAUUGCGUAACGUCGAGGAGCUCAUAGAGAAUAGGAGCAGAAGUAGAAGCAGCGAUAGGCUUCGUCUUGAUGAACAGAAGAAAAUCGAGAAUGAUGAACAAUGUGACUGUCAGAUCGUUGAAAAGAGGGAAACGAUAAUGGACACCACCUCCGUUGUACCAGAACAAAAAACAAAGGAAGAACUUAAUGAUGAAGAAAACGUAACGAUGGAAGUAAUGGAGGAAGUACUGAAUCGUUCGAAACAAGUCCAAACGAUUGCUACUGGACCGAUCGAGGAUUGUCCUCAUUGCCGAGUUCAUCAGACGACUAAAAGAACCGAGCAAACAGAGCGAUGGAUUGCGCCGGAAACACGGCGUAUUAUGGUCGAAGUUGUCCAAAAUUCUGCGGAAGUAGUCGAAGAGGUAGCAAAGGAGGCCAAAGAAGAAGAAAAUGGCGAUCUUCUCGACGAAAUGGAUGGCAAGGAGAAAAACGAGAACGACGGGGACCUAGGAGGAAGAAGAAGAAGAAGAAGAAGGAUCUCGCAAGUUCCCGUGACGUUGGAGGAGAAUCAAAGGGAGAACGAGUCGAUCGAUUCGGUCGUUACCUUAAACGACGAAUUGGAGUCCGAAAAGAAGGUGAUCUACUUUCGUUGGAGGUGAAGGUCCUUUCGUCUCUUGUCGGUGUAGACACCAUUUGCACACGCGCCUAUACUCAACAUCAUUGCAAGUACCACGAUACGAUCGAUAAGCUUCACGUUGAUCUGAAUGCACUAGCAAGGACAAAAUGGCUGGCGUUGCUUGACAGCGGCCAAGCAUCGAUCAGAAUUUGUUCCUGAGGAAAGAACAGCGAAGUCAUCGUCAUCGUUGAGUACCAUCGAGAGCAAAUAGAAAAAAAAAAAAAGAGAGUAUCAUGCGCGCUUGUAAAUCGAAGCCGACAGGUUACAUACUAUAAAAAUAAAAAGAAGCCAAAAGAAAGAAAAUCGAAGGAUCCCAUUGCAAGUGCCAAAAUUAGUAUAAUCGGUUUAUAUAUAAACGAGACCAAAUCAGAUUACAUGAAUUUUGAUUUCGAAUUCAUCUACAUCUGAUAGAGAUAUAUUUUGAUGCUUUUUCUUUUUAAUUUUUUUUUCAUUCAAACGCGAUUGAAUAUCUUAUGGGAUUCAAACAAAACGGAUUGAAAAAAUACCAAAUAAGGAAAGUAUCGAAAAUGUCGAAUCUAUGGAAAGUCGAUCGAGAAAAAAAUGUAUUUGAUCGCCGUUCUUGUUCGAAUAUAAAAUUCGAAAUGGCGAUUUAAUCGAUAACGAAACUUUCAAAUAUAAAUUUCGUGAGUCGCAUUUUUUUUCUUAUAUCGGUUUGACUCGUUAAUAUAUUCCGAUAAAAACUAUUUUGAAUACUCAAAAAGAGUUUCGCCGAAGUAAUCGUGCUUUUCAAAUCGUGUUUGAUUUUACGAGAAGUAAAAGAAAAAAAAAAAGAAAACUAAAAAUCCAGUCCGAUUCGGAUAAACGUACACGUUUCUCAGUUUUUUUCUCUUUUAUAUAUAUAUAUAUAUAUUUUUUUUUGUUUUUAUAAUAUAAACAAAUAAUUUUUUUACAUCGCACAAAUUUUCUUCGAUGAAAAGGCUUCGUAUCGUCGAUUUCUAUCCGAGAAACUUGUUAGAUUAUAGAAAGAAAAGAAAACACGCAAAAGAAAGAAAAAAACAGAGUCGAUCCUUGCCAUUCUUUAUCCUCGCCUUUGUAUAAAACAGUUUCCGCUUGCUUUGUUUACCGAAAACAUAAUCUUCACGUAAGCGAUUUUACGAAAUACGAAUCGAAACGAAUUCAUAAUCCCAACGAAGAUUAUACGUACGUAAGUAUUUAGCAGUGCGUACAGUACGAACAAAAUUGUAUCUUUAUUUUUUUUUUCAAAUCGAAUACGACGGAAUGAUACACGUAAAUAUGUAAAUACGUGUAUUUUUAACGAAAGAAAAACCAUGAAAAAAAGAGAGAAAGAGAUGAGAUCACUGGCCUGCGUUAUCUUUCGUAUCUUUGGAAAGAUAAGGAAUAGAGAGAGAGAGAGAGAGAGAGAGAGAGAAAAUAAAUAAACAAACGAAAGAAAGUGUGUGCGUGUAUGCCGGCUUUGCAUUAUAAUAUACGUAUACAAAUUAUAUAUAUAUAUAUAUAUUAUUUGAAUAACUUUGUAGGAUUUACAAAACGUGUCUCUAGUCCACUUUUCAUUCGAGCGUAGCGCCACGUUCUUUUUACCAUAUCGUUUUUACAGUGGUUAGUAUUUUGAGUUUUAUCCUUUAGUUUUACAAGUAUGUAUGUAUGUAAGCACACUACUACUGUAUUCAUAAUUUUACACGAGUCUUGUUAUUUUUAUUUUCUUCUUCGUCUUCUUGCUCCUUUGUUUUCUUUUUUUAGUGUUACGCGGUCGACAUGGAACUGUUUGUUCGUUUUAUCCUUUUAUCAUGUACCCGUAUACGAAAUAAAGUUGAUAUUGUUUGCGCGAA